CUCAAAGGACUUGACGGUAUCCCAUAUCGACCUAGAGGAGCCUGUCCUAUAAUCGAUACCCCUCGCUCCACCCAACCAUAACUAGCACAACAGCAGCCUAUAUACCGCCGUCGAUCAGCCUACCCUAUGAAGGUCUAACAGUAGACACAAUAGCCCAACCGCUAGUACGUCAGGUCAAGGKGUAGCAAAUGUKAUGGAAGAGAUUGGSUACAUUUUUUAUGAUAAAAAACACGAAAAGUAUUAUGAAACAAUACAUGAAGGUGAAUUUAGUAGUAAAAUAGAUGAGAGUAUCUAUUUUAACAACGCUCUGGGAUGCGUACACACCGCCCGU
rnacentral:rRNA from 1 species